UACGAAUGGAGCGAGCGUUGUUCGGAAUCACUGGGCGUAAAGCGUGCGCAGGCGGUUUUGAAAGUUAGAAGUGAAGGCCCAGGGCUUAACCUUGGAAUUGCUUUUAAAACUUCAAGACUAGAGUACUGGUGAGGUUAGCGGAAUUCCGAGUGUAGAGGUGAAAUUCGCAGAUAUUCGGAGGAACACCAAUGGCGUAGGCAGCUAACUGGACAGUAACUGACGCUCAUGCACGAAAGCGUGGGGAUCAAACAUGAUUAGAUACCCUGGUAGUCCACGCCCUAAACGAUGUGUGCUAGUUGUCGGGGCCUUUAGGUCUCGGUGACGCAGCUAACGCUUUAAGCACACCGCCUGGGGAGUACGGUCGCAAGAUUAAA
rnacentral:rRNA from 1 species